UACGUAGGUGGCAAGCGUUGUCCGGAUUUAUUGGGCGUAAAGCGCGCGCAGGCGGUUUUUUAAGUUUGAUGUGAAAGCCCACGGCCCAACCGUGGAGGGGCAUUGGAAACUGGGGAACUUGAGUGCAGUAGAGGAGAGCGGAAUUCCACGUGUAGCGGUGAAAUGCGUAGAGAUGUGGAGGAACACCAGUGGCGAAGGCGGCUCUCUGGUCUGUAACUGACGCUGAGGCGCGAAAGCGUGGGGAGCAAACAGG
rnacentral:rRNA from 1 species